rnacentral:rRNA from 1 species
GAUGAACGCUGGCGGCGUGCCUAAUACAUGCAAGUCGAGCGAACGGACGAGGAGCUUGCUUUUCUGAUGUUAGCGGCGGACGGGUGAGUAACACGUGGAUAACCUACCUAUAAGACUGGGAUAACUUCGGGAAACCGGAGCUAAUACCGGAUAAUAUUUUGAACCGCAUGGUUCAAAAGUGAAAGACGGUUUUGCUGUCACUUAUAGAUGGAUCCGCGCUGCAUUAGCUAGUUGGUAAGGUAACGGCUUACCAAGGCAACGAUGCAUAGCCGACCUGAGAGGGUGAUCGGCCACACUGGAACUGAGACACGGUCCAGACUCCUACGGGAGGCAGCAGUAGGGAAUCUUCCGCAAUGGGCGAAAGCCUGACGGAGCAACGCCGCGUGAGUGAUGAAGGUCUUCGGAUCGUAAAACUCUGUUAUUAGGGAAGAACAAAUGUGUAAGUAACUAUGCACAUCUUGACGGUACCUAAUCAGAAAGCCACGGCUAACUACGUG